GUGGGCAGGGCUCCGGGGAGGCUCCAUGCGCCUCGGUGACUGGGCAGGGGAGCAUCCGGGUACUGAGAGCCUGGGGGGGUUCCAGGCUGCCGCUGGGGCCCCGGGGUCGGCGGCUCAGGGGAGGGCAUCAAAGCUAAGGCUCUGGAGGAUGAGUAGGAGUUCACCUGCCAGAUGAAACCUGGGGAAGCAUUCUGGGUGGAACCAGGCCAACCUCACUUCCUGAUGCUACCUUGUGCCCGAUGCCGGGCUGGACCUCAGCCGGGCCAGAUGGUCCCUGGGUCGGGGAGCUUGGCUGGUGGCCGGAAUGCCCAGGCCGCAAUUCAUGCACUGAAGGUCUGAGGUCCUAUCAUUGAACGGCUGUCACUGGAGUCAGGACGAGAAGCCCAGGCACAGGUGGGCACGUGAGGCCCUGGGAUCCGCCCAGCACCACACACACAAAAGGGACAAGAUGUCCACCUUUCCGUGGGUCGGCAGACGCUCACUGAGCACCGACCGCGCACCAGCCGGUCCAUGGGCAGACACCACGGAGGGCAAAACUGACUGCCCAGAGCCGCCCUGGUUUGCCCAGCAGGCGACUCCUCGGCAUCCUUCAGAGCCCACCUCCCAGGGCUGGGAACAGGGCCCGUUCCAGGCGUGGAGGGGCGUGCCUGUGACGCCUGGGGAGGCCGAGGCCAGAGGACUCCAACAUCCAAGGGCUGGGGAGGUGGCUCAGGGUUAGAGCAUCCCGGAGUCAAAUCCCCAGUUUAAAAAAAGGAAGUAGAGAAGGGAGGGAGGGAGGGAGGAAGGAGGGAGGCUGCAGGAGCCUGGAGGCCGAGGGCGGGGAGGAGGAGGCUACUGCAGACCUCAGGGGUGAACUGUGAGGAGAGCUGGGGAGGAACGCUCCAGGCCGAGGGUCCAGCCCAGCAAAGGCCCUGGGGAGGAGCUUGGCAUGUUGGGAGCACAGUGAGGAGCCCAUGUGGGUGCAGCAGAGAGACGGUGGGAGGAAACAGGGAUGGGGCAGGGCAGGUGGUGCAGGGCCAGUGGCUGCAGGCAGGACGGGGGCUUGGGAGGUGGGAGGUGGGAGCCCUGGAGGGCUGUGCGCAGAGGAGGGGCCCGAGUCAGGUGCUCGCAGGCGCCCUCUGGCGGCUGCGGAAAGGACAGGCUGGAGGAGCCGAGCUUCAGGACCCCGGCGUGGUUGGUGAGGGUGGGACUGGGGUCUGCCUUCCCUCUGCUCUGUCCCCAGCGGCACCCAGCACACAGUAGAUGCUCAGGAAGUAAUUUUAAUGUAGCAGUACAUUUUAAUAAAAUACGAAUUAUUUUAGCAUACUCUACAUUUUAAUUAUAAUUAGUUGUAAUUAUACAAUAUAAGACAAUUAUAUUUACUUUGUUAUCAAAACUAAUAGUUACAUUGUUAUACAAGGUUUGACGACAUAAUGCAUGAUUCCUCGUGUUAUGUAAUUAUAUGCCUGCCAUGAGUUGUCAUCACUAGUAAUUACAUUAACAAUGUAACUAUUAUGUCACUCUCAAAAAUCAUGUUGUACAAUAAUUUAUUAAAACAUCUCUCCUACA